GCAAACUUGGUCAUUUAGAGGAAGUAAAAGUCGUAACAAGGUUUCCGUAGGUGAACCUGCGGAAGGAUCAUUAUAGAAUCUUAUUCUAUAUUACCACCUGUGCACACUUGAUGUAGGAUUUUUAUGUGUCACGCAUAUAUUCUACAUUUAAUUGACUAUAUGCACUAUGGGAUAAUAAUAAUGAUAAUCAUAAUCAUAAUCAUGAUAACUUUCAACAACGGAUCUCUUGGCUCUUGCAUCGAUGAAGAACGCAGC
rnacentral:misc_RNA from 1 species